AGCCGAUGUGUUCGUGAUUUAUGUAGGUGAUGAAGGAUCAGAAUCGCUGAUGGCAGGGUGUCUAUACAACCCACAGUUGACAACAGUAGCUGAACAUUUUGAGCUCAAGCAACUUGAGCAGAGAAAUCGAGUUAUAACAUGCCAUGAGAAGCUCACCAUCACACAGCGAGAGAAAGUAGCUCAGGCUAUUGCUUAAUUAAGUUAUAGGUGCAGACUGUUGUGUAAAUUCUGUUGAUCAAGCAGAAGUCUUGCAGUCAGUAUGUUACACCAGCAUUUUAAUGAUUGAUUUGAGGUGAAAUAAUUGUAUUACAUGUAUUGAACAUGUUGUAGAUGAUGAAAAA
rnacentral:lncRNA from 1 species